rnacentral:rRNA from 1 species
AGUGAACGCUGGCGGUAGGCCUAACACAUGCAAGUCGAACGGCAGCACAGUAAGAGCUUGCUCUUACGGGUGGCGAGUGGCGGACGGGUGAGGAAUACAUCGGAAUCUACUUUUUCGUGGGGGAUAACGUAGGGAAACUUACGCUAAUACCGCAUACGACCUACGGGUGAAAGCAGGGGAUCUUCGGACCUUGCGCGAUUGAAUGAGCCGAUGUCGGAUUAGCUAGUUGGCGGGGUAAAGGCCCACCAAGGCGACGAUCCGUAGCUGGUCUGAGAGGAUGAUCAGCCACACUGGAACUGAGACACGGUCCAGACUCCUACGGGAGGCAGCAGUGGGGAAUAUUGGACAAUGGGCGCAAGCCUGAUCCAGCCGUACCGCGUGGGUGAAGAAGGCCUUCGGGUUGUAAAGCCCUUUUGUUGGGAAAGAAAAGCAGCAGGUUAAUACCCCGCUGCUCUGACGGUACCCAAAGAAUAAGCACCGGCUAACUUCGUG